UGGCCUUCGGGCUUUUUUGGUGUGGGAAGUCAUUUGGGGAUGUUUCUUUCAGCUUUUCAUUUGGAUUGGAGAUGUCUUCCAUUUGGGAACCCUUUAUUUAUGAGGAGCUCCACAGCUGAACAUAGGGUUCACAGCUGAAGAGGCCGGAAGCUCUAUGCUUAGAGCACCUACAGUUCUCCUGAACCUGACCCGCCAAGCUCUUGAGUGAGGAAGGAGGCAGGAACCCAGAAAGACCGAACAUUUAAAAGUAAGCCCACGUGUUGGGCUGACUUGGGCUUGCUGUCUUGUUCUCACAGAUGGAGAUCUCCUACAGAAGCUCAUUGUGUGAAGUCGACGAAGUCGUAGCUGUUCUGAUUGAAGCAGAAGUCUCCUUCCCAGCCUGCCACCCUCAUGCACACGGGGACUUUCAGAUAACAUCUGAGCCUCAGAAGGACCUGAUGUGACACCUAUCACUCUGGAGGAUUCCUUCCUCACAUGACCACCUGCUCUAAUUUUAGGGGAUGCACCGUUUACUCCAUAUUGUAACAUCUGGAGAGACGUAUUCUGGGUGCUGUGGAUCAGUGCCAGAACCCCUCUUUCAAGUCCUGCCACAGCCAUGAAUGUAGCUGCUCCUAAGCUGGAGGAAAGCCCGUCGCCCAGCAAAGUCUAUGCCUGCGCCGUUUCCUCUCCAGAGUGACAUGUGAUAGAAGACAAUCAUGUCAGCUCCCUCGACUCAUUUGUUUGAUGAAGGGAAAGCCUAAGAAGGAAUAGGAUUGCUUCGCUCUCUCACAGUUGACCUUGAACAAUGUGGGGGUCAAGGAGGCUGACCCCUGCACAGUUGAAAAUCCAUGUAAAAUUUUGACACCCCAAAUACUGAACUGCUAAUGGCCUACUGUUGACCAGAAGCAUUACUGAUAACAUGAGCAGACAACUGACAUAUUUUGUUCAUGUAUUAUAUAUAUAUGUAUUCUUACAGCAAAGUAAGCUUGAGAGAAAAACAUGUUACAACAGGCCUAAGGAAGAGAAAAUACAUUUACAGAAUUAUAUUGUAUUUAUGGAAAAUAAUCCACUUGUAAGUGGACCCGUGGCAUUCAUGCCCAUGUUGUUGAAGGGCCAACAGCUACUGUAUGAAAGGGGUGACAGGUGUAUUUUAGAUUGCUCUAGAAGAGAGUGAUAAGACAAAGGAUCCUUAAUUGAGAUCACGUGUCCAUCAUCUACAUGCCAGGAAUGGCAGGGAAGGUGAGGAAAGCUUUUUCUCAGGUGGAAGGAAUGGACUAUAUCUUACCAAUAACUCUCAUCGUGGGAUCUGCUUCAGAAGUAGGAAGAAAGUUUGGAUGCUGUGCAGGAAAACCUGAGGGAUGGCCAGAACACCUUUUGCAAAGCUUGCAGAGUGGACAUUGUUACCCCGUCUCAUUGUUUUGGAAACAGCCUCAGAGAAGGAACUUCACUCACCAACUCCCUGAUUCUUCAAACUGUUGUUGAGAGCCUAUUACGUGCUCUCUGCCAGGUGCUGAGGCCAUGAGCAAAAUAAGUAAAAACACGUGCCUCCACACAGUGUGCACUUCUGUGGUGGGGAAGGCAGGAGACAGAGUAACUGAUCAGUAAAACAUAUACUAUCGCAGAUGGGGGUCGAUGCUCGAAAAAAAAACUUCAUCAGGGAAAGAGAGUGGGAGGGUGGUUGUAUUAUGGAGAUAUCAUUUUCAGGCAGACAGACAAGGUUGGUUUUGCUAAGACAGUGAUAUUUGAUCGAAGACCUGAAGGAGAUAAGGGAAUGAGCCCUCUGAGCCUCUGGAGAAGGGUGUCCAGGCAGGGGGAUCAGCACAGGCUACAUGCUCUGAGGUGCCAGUGUGCCUGGCAGGUCCAAGGGCCCGUCUAGAGGCUGGUGUGUUAGGAUCAGAGCAAGAGCAAGAGCAGCCAGAGGAGGGAAGGGCUGGAAUUGCUCGGGCUGGAUCAUCUGCCAGCCCCAGAGGGUUUUGGAGGCCGUAAGACAUCUGAGAAGAGGAUGGGCAGGAUCUGACUUACAUUUCUUUCAUUCUUUCUUUUUUUUUUUUUAAAGGUUUUAUUUACUUAUUUGACACAGA